AAUGUAGAGCCUGAAUAAAGGAUCGUCGUGAUAGGACGAAAUAUGUAAUACAUGCUUACCUACAUUA
rnacentral:tRNA from 1 species